CCUCGUCCACUUGGACCUCAGGUGAAGACUCGACGAAUCGUUCAUUCAAAGUUCGCUGUUCUUCGACUUAAGUACCAAAUCUCUCCUGAGUUUAGACUGGAAGUUUCCAACUCCGAGGAUCGGAUAGCUCUCCCUGCUCGAGAUCGGAUUGGGCUUUAUAAAGAGUUCGUUAAGGUUGGGCUUAGGUUACCUAUUUAUUUUUUGAUUGUAUA
rnacentral:lncRNA from 1 species